GGGGAAUAUUGGGCAAUGGGCGCAAGCCUGACCCAGCAACGCCGCGUGAAGGAAGAAGGCUUUCGGGUUGUAAACUUCUUUUAAGAGGGAAGAGCAGAAGACGGUACCUCUAGAAUAAGCCAUGGCUAACUACGUGCCAGCAGCCGCGGUAAUACGUAGGUGGCAAGCGUUGUCCGGAUUUACUGGGUGUAAAGGGCGUGCAGCCGGGUCUGCAAGUCAGAUGUGAAAUCCAUGGGCUCAACCCAUGAACUGCAUUUGAAACUGUAGAUCUUGAGUGUCGGAGGGGCAAUCGGAAUUCCUAGUGUAGCGGUGAAAUGCGUAGAUAUUAGGAGGAACACCAGUGGCGAAGGCGGAUUGCUGGACGAUAACUGACGGUGAGGCGCGAAAGUGUGGGGAGCAAAC
rnacentral:rRNA from 1 species